rnacentral:ribozyme from 1 species
GAAGAUUAAAGGACCCAAAAUGUGAGGAAAUGGUCCAAAUCUUAUUGUUGUUCCUCGUUUAUAAUGAAUGAAAGAUGAAUGAGAAAAAGACAAAGAAACCAAAUGCUCAUUUCUUCAUUCAUUCGGUUCAGGUGCCGAGAGACGAGUGACGGUACGGUUUCUCUUUAAUUAAAAGAAGAUAAGGAAAAUGAAAGACACGUCCAAGAUUUAUUCCUCGUUCUUUUAUUGCAUUAGAAUGAAGAUAAAGAAGUAAAAGACUCAUGAUGGCAUUCCAUUUCAUUACAUUUAAUUUAUAGUUGUACCUUAUA